UAAUGUGCUCUGACGAUGAACUGGGCUUUGCCUUUUGACUUGCGUUGGCCAAUGGGACACAGGCAAAUGUCAUGCAAAUACAGAUUCAAAAAGUAUUUGCCUAAUGGUGCUUGUCUUCUUGGACACAGUCAAAUUGUGAAGAAUCUUGGGGCUACCUGCUGGAAACACAGUGCCUAACAGAGAGCCAGCACAAAUCACAAGACAUGUGAGUAAAGCCAUCUUAAGCCAACCAGCCUCAGUCAAGGCACCAGGUGACUCAACUGUCACUCGUGAUCCAAGCAACACUAACAUAGAAUAUGAACUGCCCAGAUGAACCCACCACAAAAUACAGAUCCAUAGAAGCUUGAACAAAGAAAAUGGUGGUGGUUUUUUAAGCCACUAAGGUCUGAUUACUUUCUUAUAAAGCAAAUGCUAACUGAUACAUCUAAGCCGCCAGAACUUGAUAUAUAUCUAAGAAAAUUAUGUGGGGAAGAAAGUUUUAAUGUGUAUGUCAAAUACAAUCAACACCACUUUGGAAGCACACAAAGAAAUUUUGAAAAUCACAAUGAAUAUCAAAUGGAUGGAAUUCAGUGAGGUAGGUGGCUGGUGCUAAUAGAGACCGUGUGAAUCAUACAAAGCAACUGUUUGCACAUCAGAAAGCCGUCUAUGUUUUAAAGUUUUUACAUCAUAAAAAAGUUUGUUUACUUUAAAAAACACAAAACAUAAAAAGAGUCUGUUACAAGGGAGCAUUGUACUUCAUUUUAUUAAAUUUUAAGAAAUAGGUUUGGAGAAGCAGUAUGACAGUCUAAUUUUCCCAUAUUAAUGUCAAAUAAUCUCCCAUUAUUUUCAUGCAGAAUUUAUGAUUUUUAAGAACAUAUUACUGACAUUAAGUGGGAAACACUUGUGUUUCCUCAAAUGAAACUCUUUGAAGUCACAUAAUCCAUAGAAAGUGUUGGGGAUAAAAAAGGAUAGGGAUGUUUAAGGCAAAAUAUUUUAAAGCAAUGUUUGUUCUAUGCUGUCAGUGUUGCAAAAAUAAUCUCAAAAGUAAACAAACACGGCCGGGUGCAGUGGCUCACGCCUGUAAUCCCAGCACUAUGGGAGGCCGAAGUGGGCGGAUCACAAGGUCCGAAGAUCGAGACCAUCCUGGCUAAUACGGUGAAACCUCAUCUCUACUAAAAAUACAGAAAAUUAGCCAGGCAUGGUGGCGAGCGCCUGUAGUCCCAGAUAGGAGGCUGAGGCAGGAGAAUGCCAUGAACCCGGGAGGCAGAACUUGCAGUGAGCCGAGAUCUCACCACUGCACUCCAGCCUGGGUGACAGAGCGAGACUCCGUCUCAAAAAAAAAAAAAAAGUAAACAAACACUUGUUUUGACUUGUGGCAAAAUGAGUAACACCAGCCAAAAGGUCGGGAUGCCUAACAUCUACAGAUCAAGUGAUCUUGGGCAAGUAAAUAACUUCUCAAAUCCAAUUGCUCCAUCUAACGUAGAAAUACCUCGGCAAACUUCCUGAACUACCAGGAAGAACUAUUAGGACAGAGGGAGCAUCAACAUAUCUGUAGAUACCAAAUUUCGUGCUAGACUAUGUUUAAGACAGCUCAGACACGGGACAAUUAGGGGAGAUUGAAGGAAUGGGACGACUGUUUAGGGAGCACUGUCUACGGUAGGACAGGUCAUUCCUACACCCCAGAUGACACCUUCAAGCUCCCUCCUAUAAGCAACAUUUCCUAGGCCCCUGCCUAGUCUUCUCAAACUCACCUCUCCUUUCUGAAAGUUGGCCUAAACCUUCCAAAAGCACCAGUUGUUAAUAGCUAUUGAAUGAGCUAUUAUCAAUCAAAUACCGUGCAUUCUAGGGAGUAGGAUCAAUAACUGCUUGGGUCAUGCAAAACUAGGAUCUAUGCCUUUCUGUGAUUCUGCUCUGAAGCUCCAGUGAGAAGGUUCAGGCCAGAAGGGUGCUCUUUCAGAGGGGAGUCCUAUUUUCUGCUUCCAAGUGUGGAACGCCUAAUUUAUUGCAAAGACAACUGGGCCAUCACCCAGCACCCCAUCUUCCUCGUGGAACUCGUCCCUGGAAAACAGGCCGGGGUUGCCCUCUAUGCUGCCUAGAGGGCCUGCCUGCCGGGGCUGCCCGCUGUACGUCCUUCAGGCCUGGCUGGGAGGCUCAGCUGGCCCCGGGGCCCGCAUGCCGGGCCUGUCCACUGUCCUGCCUUCAGGGCUCGCCAGCCUGGGCUGCCCGCGGUCCUGUCUGCAGGGGCCGCCUGCCGGGAUUGCCCGCUCUCCUGCCUGCAGGCGCUGCUGGGAGGCUCAGCUGGCCCCGGGGCCUGCCUGCUGUCCUGCCUGCAUGGACCACCAGGCUGAGCUGCCCGCUGUCCUGCCUGCAGGGCCCGCCUGCCGGGGCUGCCCGCUGUGCAGCCUGCAAGGCCCACCUUCCGGGGUUGCCCUCUAAGCUGCCUACAGUGCCCGCCUGCCGGGGCUGCCUUCCGGGAUUGCCCGCUCUCCUGCCUGCAGGCCCUGCUGGGAGGCUCAGCUGGCUCAGCCUGCAGGGCCGGCCUGCCGGGGCUGCCCGCUGUACGUCCUCGAGUUCCGACUGGAAGGCUCAGCUGGCCCCAGGGCCCCAUGCGGGGCCUCUCCGCUGUCCCGCCUUCAGGGCUCGCCAGCCUCCGCUGCCCGCUGUCCUGUCUGCAGGGGCUGCCUUCCGGGAUUGCCCGCUCUCCUGCGUGCAGGCCCUGCUGGGAGGCUCAGCUGGCCCCGGGGACCGCCUGCCGGGUCUGCCCGCUGUGCUGCCUGCAUGGACCACCAGCCUGAGCUGCCCGCUCUCCUGCCUGCAGGCCCGGCUGGGAGGCUCAGCUGGCCCCGGGGACCGCCUGCCGUGUCGGCCCGCUAACCUGCCUGCAGGGCCCGCCAGCCUGAGCUGCUCGCUGUCCUGCCUGCAGGGCCCGCCUGCCGGGGCUGCCCGCUGUGCAGCCUGCAAGGCCCACCUGCCGGGGUUGCCCUCUAAGCUGCCUACAGUGCCCGCCUGCCGGUGCUGCCCACUGUACAUCUUUCAGGCCCAGCUGGGAGGCUCAGCUGGCACUGGGGCUUGCAUGCCGGGCCUGUCUGCUGUCCUGCCUUCAGAGCUCGCCAGCCUGGGCUGCCCGCGGUCCUGUCUGCAGGGGCCGCCUGCCGGGAUUGCCCGCUCUCCUGCUGGCAGGCCCGGCUGGGAGGCUCAGCUUGUCCCGGGGACCGCCUGCCGGGUCUGCCCGCUGUCCUGCCUGCAUGGACCACCAGCCUGAGCUGCCCGCUGUCCUGCCUGCAGGGCCUGCAGGCCCGGCUGGGAGGCUCAGCUGGCCCCGGGGACCGCCUGCCGGGUCUGCCCGCUCUCCUGCCUGCAGGGCCCGCCAGCCUGAGCUGCUCGCUGUCCUGCCUGCAGGGCCCGCCUGCCGGGGUUGCCCUCUAAGCUGCCUACAGGGCCGGCCUGCCGGGGCUGCCCGCUGUACGUCCUUCAGGCCCAGCUGGGAGGCUCAGCUGGCACUGGGGCCUGCAUGCCGGGCCUGUCUGCUGUCUGGUCUUCGUUUUUGGUUCUCUUCAUUUGGUUUAUAAAUUUGAGUUAAUAUUUGGAGCCAUUUUCUCAACCCAAUACAGCUUUGCUCCCAUGACCUCCUUCGUACUCUUAUUGGUGAACACAUUACAUUUAUAUAUGGUACAGGAAGAAGAAUGCAUUGUAUAUAUGCAGUUUUAUACAACUGCUUUCUACAUCGGUUAAGAGAAGAAAAUAGAAGAAUGUGCACUUAUACUGCCUUUUGUAGUUUCAUAUUUACCUUUUAUGGUGCCCUAUGUUUUUUGUGUGUGAUUUUGAUUUACUGUCUGGGAUCACUUGCUUCCAGCCUGAUGAAUUUCUCUUUUGAUUUCUUAUGAGGCAGAUAUUCCAGCGACAUAUUCUUUCAGUUUUGUUAAUCUGGGUGAUUCCAGCUCUUCAUAUAGCUGCUGCCUCACAGAAUUAGGAUGAGUAGUGGGAAGAACUGAGUGUGGGAAUGAAGCAGAUGGGACAGAGUCCAAGAACCCAAAAGCAAGGAGGAAGAGACAGUACCGGGGCAUGAAUAGCCUUGGAGGGUUCCUGACGCCAGCCUGCAGUUCCUGGAGCUCCAGCACCUCAUCCACAACAUUUGCGAAUGGACAAGGCAGGAGUGAGGAAGAAAGGUUUCAUCUUCAGAGAAGAGGUAUCAGUAGUGUAGGGGUGAAGGUGAUGGAAGAAACGGUUGUGGAACAAAAGGAAUAGAAAGCUCCCGGCAAGGAUGGAGGCAGCACUGUUUGUUGGACAACUGAAUUGGCCCAGGUGGCCCCUGCACUCUCAGGUACCUGAGACUCCACCCGCCUUGCCUUACUGUCCACAUUUACUCAUGGUGACAACCCCCGCCCCCAAAUUUCAUUUGAAUGACAUGCGCAGGUGCAUUUGCACUGAGAUCUUUAUUCUAGGCCUGGGGCCUUGGAGCAGUGGGCAAUUGCAACACAGGACAGAGAAGAGAGUAUUGUUUGUGUCCCUGUGAUCAGACACAUGCACACACUACACACACACACACACACACACACACACACACACACACAAGGACACGGGCACAGACAUGGGUAGUAAUGAGACCUAUUAAGUAUUUUCCCCUCCAGUAGGCAGAUGUGCAUGAUACAUAAAUUACAAAUAAGAGGAACCUUGUGAACACAUUUCAAAGGCAAGAUGAGUGAAUAUCGGUGACUUGUGGUUUUCAUGUAUUUUAUAAUUCAGUUCUUGGUAUAAAAUAUAUUUUAUAUUCCAACCUCGUAUACACCUAUACACUCUUGAAAAAUCGAAAGAAGAGUUUCACUGAAGAAAACUUAAUUUCACAAGGUGUGAUACUCUCUGAUGUUUUAUUUUACAUCAUAUACUAGUUCAAUUAAAAAAUAAAUUCAUUAAGCUCAUCAGAAUUGACUGUGCCUGCAAUUUCAAAAAUG
rnacentral:lncRNA from 10 species